rnacentral:rRNA from 1 species
AACGCUGGCGGCGCGCCUAACACAUGCAAGUCGAGCGAGAACCGGAGCUUCGGCUCCGGGGACAGCGGCGAACGGGUGAGUAACACGUGGAUAACCUGCCCUCGGCACCGGAAUAGCCCGGGGAAACCCGGAUUAAUGCCGGAUGGCCCCACAUCCCUGCGGGGAACGUGGGAAAAGGUAGCUUCGGCUUCUGGCCGAGGAUGGGUCCGCGGUGGAUUAGCUUGUUGGUGGGGUAAUGGCCCACCAAGGCGACGAUCCAUAGCUGGUCUGAGAGGACGAUCAGCCACACUGGGACUGGGACACGGCCCAGGCUCCUACGGGAGGCAGCAGUGGGGAAUCUUGCGCAAUGGGCGAAAGCCUGACGCAGCGACGCCGCGUGUGUGAAGAGGGUCUUCGGAUUGUAAAGCACUUUAAGUUGGGAGGAAGGGCAGUAAGUUAAUACCUUGCUGUUUUGACGUUACCAACAGAAUAAGCACCGGCUAACUUCGUGCCAGCAGCCGCGGUAACAC